AAAGAUAGCUCCACUUCAUAAAAUCCUUUUAUAACAUCCUCAACCUACGUUGAAUUAAGCAGCAUUAUUGUAUCGGCAUUAUUGUAUUCGGGUGCCACUGCACCGGUGCCAUUCAAGUAUCACGGUAGUUAGUGCCUUGGUCCCCUCCCACCAGUCGUGCGCUGUGCUCUUUCAGAGACCGUACCGACUGGAAUUUAGCGACCGUUGACCGUUUUGAAGACUGUACGCGGCCGGCAGCGGGCGGUCCCAUCCUCGCCUCCGGCUAGAGAGGGGGAGACCGCGACAGGGGACCGCGCGUCCCCGUCCCGUUGUGCCGGCUCGCAGAGUGCGGACGGGUGUGUUGAGUGCGUUGUGUCCAGUGUCGUCUGGCGUCUCCUCUUUCGAUCCGACCAUGUAGGUUUCCGCCAGUUUCUGCUGUGUGACAAUCAGUGCAUUUAUCCUAGUUAUUGCAGUGAUAAGUUAAAAAAAACUGGCGCUGAAACGUUCUCUUCAAAAUGGUGGCGAUCACCGUCGUCACUCACUUGCCUGCGGCAAAGAGAAAAAGUGCUGCCGGUGGCGUCAUGUAGCGUCAUGACUUGAAACAGGGCCCGGAGUGCGAGGCUCGACAGGCGACUCAACCCCCACGGCCCUGACUCAACCGACUCAACCGCUCAAGAUGUGAAGAUGGCGGAGACUGAGCGGCGGCCGAUGCUGUGUGACGUGAUAUGUGAAGUGUAACUGACUCGAAAAAGUGAAGAGCUGUGCCGGCGACCGAGGUUGUGUGACGUGAUAUGUGAAGUGUAAGUGACUCGAAAAAAGUGAAGAGCUGUGCAUAUAUCAUAGAAAUACAUUUUCCCCGAACAUUGACUGUGACGGUGACGCUGGAAUAUUUUAGGUAAUUACGGGAU